CAUGACUAAUAAGUGCUAAGGUGCACUCCUAAACGCACACACACCCCUUAUACUCUGAAUGCAAGCAUUAGUUUAAAUUCACUGAUAUGGUGGCAGGAUAAAAAGAUUUAUUAAAAGCAUGAACAUGUGUAUAAUUAUUAGUGACAUGAGGCUACAUUUAGCUGACAGGACACGGGCUGAAUGGAGAUGCAUGGUGGUCAAUUAGGAGGUAGUUUAUAACAUUGCAAUGCGUUAGCGUUUAACAAAUAACUGGAUAUCGCUAACAUUACAUGGAGCAUAACGUUAGCUGAUUUCACGGCUACAAUGCCAGCUGUCUCAAACAUAAUAUAGGACCUGUCUUUCGACUGUAAUCCUAUGGCAUUAAUUUUGUAACCUAAAAAUACCUCUACUUCUCCCAUGAACUCACACUUGCUCCUUCUUUGCCUCAGUCCACUCUUUUCUAUCCUACUCAGUACCUCAUCCAAGUUCUGCAGAUGUUCAUUAGCCCCUGAGACUAAAAUGCCAUCCAGAUAAACUGUGACGCGUGUGAUGUCUUGCAGAAUCCCUUCUAUUGUGCGCUGGAAGAUCGCUGGACUUGAAGCAACUCCAAAUGGUGGCCUGUUUGUCCAAAGCCCAGGCUGACCCCCCCACCCCUUCAACCUUUGCGGCAGUGCUGGCAGCACUAUUUCCCAAAGACAACCUCUGGAUAUGACGCUGAGCACGUGCACUCAACUUCUUUGGUCGACCAUGGCGAGGCCUGUUCUGAGUGGAACCUGUCCUGUUAAACCACUGUAUGGUCUUGGCCACCGUGCUGCAGCUCGUUGUCAGGGUCUUGUGUCCAAAGCCCGUGGUGGUGGCAGUGCAUGGCGUGUGUGUGGAAGCAGGUCUGUUGGGAGUGUUAAGUACCAUCUCAUACACUCAGCAAACAAUGUGGAUGGAACUUUCCAGAGUUGUGGUGUCACUUUUCCUACAAAGCUUUAACCAUCAGAGAGUUAUCUUUUACUGGGGCUUUUAGCUGCAGGAGACUGAAUUACUAACAGUUUUUUUUUGUGGAUCUGAUUUCUUCUUUCGCAGGAGUGGAUCUAAUCACAGUCUGUGAUAUUCGUCUGUGCACACAGGAUGCCUGGUUUCAGGUGAAGUCGUGUGUUCCCUGAUGGUCAAUGAUUGCUGGAGCUCUGGAAAUAGCAGGUGAGAUUGCAGGCCGGAGUCCCGUCGCUGUCCAGGGAACCAAAAUCAACCUCCUCUACUCCUGAGACCACAGUGUGACUGAGAGCCUAGACUACAUGGCUACUUGGAACAUGAACAUGUUGCAGACACAGGAUCUUAUGAAGUCAGCGCAGGCAGCCCUGGAAAAGAAGAGUCCGAAAGACGUGCCCUUCUCCAAGCUUUAAAGGAGAAGAUCCAGGGCUGUUGAAGCUGCGGUGGAACUGAGACUUCAUCAUCCACAUAUCUUUAGUUCUUCUUGUUAAGUCUGAGUUUCUUUUUAGUCUUUUUAUUUUUAGACUGGUCAAAAGACUGAUUAGUGGAAGUGAAAUGAUGGAUGAACUUUUAAUUACUUGCUUUAUUAUUUGCAGGUGCUUUGUACAGUAAGACAGGGUAACUAAUACUCAAAAGCUUGUUUUGUGUGUUAACAUGUACAGUAGAUGUACAUAUUUUUUCUGGUCCUGUGUGAUUGCAGAAUGUAGUGCAGUUAACACAGUAAAUUUCCUUGGAUGCUCACUUUUAACUCGGAGGUCACAGUUUGCCCAGACAUCUUUUUUUAAAUCCGUCAAUCCGUCACCCACACGUCAUUCUGGGGGACGAAGAGGAGGAAGCUGGACAGAUACAUUUAUUUAUUUAUUUAUUUAUUUAUCAUUGCUGUGUUUCCUCAAUCCAGUGCAGAAAGAAGAAAAACACAACUGAUUUAAAAUAAAAAUAUAGAACAUAAUCUAAUGUAAGGUUCUGAUCCGGUUUGCUUUCAGCAGGAAAGCUGUCCUCUUUCCUGUUGCUCUUUCUCUUCUAUUAGUCCAUUUGUCCAGUCUGAAUCGGUUUGAUUCGUUUCAAGACGAUUUGGAGUCGAAUAAUUUUCUAGUGAGAGUCGCACACUUCCAAACGAACUAGACUGAGAUGAGUAUUUGAUUCUCACUAGAAAGUGAUUCGACUCUGAAUCAACUCAAAAUGAAUCAGUCAAACUGAUUCAGACUCUAUAAAAGGACUAUGAGAUGUGAUUAAGAUAUAUAUUCCAAUGUUUUGCUUUACAAUUCCACUGUGUGUGUGUGCGCGCACGUGUGUUUUUCAGGAGAACGAGAAACUCGGACACAAGAGUACAUCCUGACCAUUGGUACUGUGUACACAUCAACAUACACGCAUGUCUUCAUGUUGGACAUCUCAGGAGCUUUCACACACGGUGCUAGGAAUAUCCCGGGACAGAGAAACGCACCUCCUAAGUGAGCGAGUUUAGCGUCAACCGGUGAAAUUUUCUGUAGCGUGAACACUUCGCCUCUGUGAGCUUCACUCUCCGUCAGGUUCACUGUAAUUAGACAUAAAAUGUACAUAAUGUUUAUUUUUCAUACAUUUAGGAUUUAAUGUUUUUCUUUACUCUUUGAGGAACAGAAAUGAUCUUUUGAGGCAGUUUCAUCACUACCUGCUCCGUUUGAUUAAAACAUAACGACCAGUUUCAAAAAGUCACAAUGUCUUCAGUUCAUGUGAUUUUACUGUUGAAUUUAAACAGGAAAUGUGAAAUAUUUUUUCCUUUGUUUCCUCUACUGUCUUUUUGCUGUGAUCUUGAACACAGUUGUAAUUUUAUUAUUAUUUUUUAAAUAAAUAAAUGAUCAUUCUAUUCUUUCUCACUUUCCUUGUCCUAAUUGUCCUGUAUCUGUUAAAUCCGUUUCAUCUGUGGUCUUUCUGUCUGUAUGAACACUUGUAGAAAUGACAUAUAGUCUAUAUUUUUAUUCAUGAUUUUGAAUUUAAAUAAAGAUAUUCUUUAAUUCUG